AUUGAACGCUGGCGGCAUGCCUUACACAUGCAAGUCGAACGGUAGCGGGCCUUCGGGUGCCGACGAGUGGCGAACGGGUGAGUAAUGUAUCGGAACGUACCAUUGAGUGGGGGAUAACGUAGCGAAAGUUACGCUAAUACCGCAUAUUCUCUCCGGAGGAAAGCAGGGGACCGCAAGGCCUUGCGCUCUUUGAGCGGCCGAUAUCAGAUUAGCUAGUUGGUGAGGUAAAGGCUCACCAAGGCGACGAUCUGUAGCGGGUCUGAGAGGAUGAUCCGCCACACUGGAACUGAGACACGGUCCAGACUCCUACGGGAGGCAGCAGUGGGGAAUUUUGGACAAUGGGGGCAACCCUGAUCCAGCCAUGCCGCGUGAGUGAAGAAGGCC
rnacentral:rRNA from 1 species